CCCGUUUUCUAAAUUCUUAUAUCAAUUUUCUUUUUAACUGCCCAAUUUUAAUUACCCAAAAUAACAUGGAUGAUUCCACACAACGCUCUUUGGCAAGUACAAAUCUUGGGGUUAGUAGAGUAAAAGUUGACAUAUUCCAGUCUGUGAUUAUCCAUCAACAUACAUUCCUUUAAUUUUAGUCUAAAUAAUAAUUAAUUUCUGCUUUUCUAAUUCAAAAAUAAAGGUGUACUUGCCUAUAAAUGAGGUUUAUUGACCAUAAAUUCCAAAAAUAAGCGUAAAACUAAAGUUAAUAAGUUACUGUUACGUAGUGUUGAAAACGUAAAAAAAAAAGUGACGAACAUUGAAAAAAGUGUCAAAAGUGUUGAAAAAAGGGACAAAAACGUAAGAAAAAGUUAAAAACAUCGAUAAAAAGCGUCAACAAAAGUGUUGAUUUUCAAUUUUGACGGGAAGACAACACAAGGGUUA